CUCAGGACGAACGCUGGCGGCGUGCCUAAUACAUGCAAGUCGAACGAACUCUGGUAUUGAUUGGUGCUUGCAUCAUGAUUUACAUUUGAGUGAGUGGCGAACUGGUGAGUAACACGUGGGAUCGGCUAUCACUUUUGGAUGGUCCCGCGGCGUAUUAGCCAGAUGGUGGGGUAACGGCUCACCAUGGCAAUGAUACGUAGCCGACCUGAGAGGGUAAUCGGCCACAUUGGGACUGAGACACGGCCCAAACUCC
rnacentral:rRNA from 1 species